CUCCCGGAUGUUUCUCCUUCCCUGCUUCCUUGUCUGGUUUCGUCUCCGGGAGGAAAUGCCCCCUGUCCAGCGCUGUGAGUCACUGGUCCCUCCAGGGAGUGCAAGCCUGGGACCUGCCAGGACUCUGCCCCCUUGUGUCCCCACUCUGAUUUUCCUUGCCCCUCUGGGGUGCCCGCUGUGGCUCCCUGGUCCCCUGCCCCACCUGUCAGCUCUCUCUGGGCAGGGGAGCCAGUCAGCUUGUGACUAGAACAAUGGGCCCUUACAGGAGGCUUUCCCAUAGACAAUGCCCAGACUUGAGUGGAUGGGGACACUGAUGGGCUCUCGAGAAGGGUGAUGCUGAAAGGGCCCCUGGGAGACCACCCUCUAUGUGGCACAGCCAGGCUGGGUGCUAAGGGUUGGGGAGGGUAUGACUCACCCCAGCAAAGUACAGACACCUGGAUGGGACCCUCCAGCUUCCUGGGCAUUUUAAAUCUUGGGAGAGGCAGGGUUGUGGGGUCUUUCAAGCCCCCUUCAUUGUCCUGGGUCCUGCUUUGCCUCCUGCCCUGGGACUCUUGCCCUUAGAAGGUGGACCUCUGAGACUUUGAAGGGAGGCCUUGAUGGACUUCCCUGGUGGUUCAGAUGGAAAGAAUCUUCCUGCAAUGCAGGAGACCUGGGUUUGAUCCCUGGGCCAGGAAGAUCCCCUGGAGAAGGGAAUGGCUACUCCAGUAUUCUUGCCUGGAGAAUCCUAUGGACAGAGGAGCCUGGCCCGGCUGCGUGCCCUCCGAGAGAUCCAGGGCAGCUCAGGACACUGAGAGUGGAGUUCGAGCCCCAGCCUAGGAGGCAGGUCCCAGCUGGGCAUCUGGCAGGCUCUGUAGCCUGAAUUCUCUGGAACUGAUCCUUCAUCUGUUGCCUUGGAGAGGAGGAAACUGGCAUGAAAUCAGCAGGCAGUGGAUGGCCCUUCACUUAGGCAAACCCCUCGCUGAUCUAACCCUCCAUGAGACUGUCCAGUGUCAGGAAACCAAAGGCACAGACAUUCGAGGAGUGAAAAAUGCCAAUACUGGGACUUCCCUGGUGGUCCAGUGGGGAAGAAUCCACCUUCCAAUGCAGGGAACAUGGGCUCGAUCACUGGUCCAGGAGCUAAGAUUCCUACAUGCUGAGGGGCAGCUGAGCCUCCAUACUGCAACUACGGAGUCCAUGGUCUGGAAUCCAUGCGCCACAAUUAGAGGGAAGUUCAUGUGCUGCAACGAAGAGACUGCAUGCAGCAACUAAGACCCGACACAGCCAAAAAUAAAAGGAAUGCAAGCUGAAAAAAAAACAACCCAAGACAAAAAGAAAAAUGCCAGUACUGACAGACCCAGACCAUCGCCCCCUCCCUUGGGGAGGUUUAACCACCUUAUCCGCUCUCCUCAUAAAACCUGCUGCCCUUGGCUUUCUCCUGUUUCUUUUCCUGUCUCCUCUACAUGUUUCUCCUUUGUCCUCUUUGCAGAUUCUCAUCUGGGAGCCCAUGGGGGCCACCAAGCCUCAGCCCACGAAUCCUACUUCAUCCUUCUCUUUGGAGGCCAGAAUCCAUCUAGUCCUUCCCUGCCUCAAGGCUUUCUCACUGCCUCCCCUAACUGUGCCCUCCAUGGGGUCAGGGACCGCAUGGCCUUUGGACCACCCCCCUCUCCACCGCAAACCAUUAACCUGGCCCAGUGUCUGGAGCAGAGAUGUCAAAUGCUGCAGGUGGGGAAAUAAGUAAAAGUGCCAGCUUCCCCUCCCCCACCUCUUGGUUGUGACCUGGCAAAAUCCGGCCCCACCUAAUCACCCAAGUAGACCUCUGAAGCUCAGAGUUUUGAACUUAAAAGAACAAGACACAGAUAAACUCACUCACAGAAUGUGAUGCAACUUUUCGGAGAGACAGUUCAGGGGCGUUUAAUAACAAAUGAGAAAUGCGUAUGAAGAUGCUGACCAUGUGGCAGCACAGAAAACUGUAUAAACAUAAUGAUCAUAGCUGGGUGCACAGGAUGUCUGGAGGGUUCCUGGGUCAAAGUGCUGAAGUUUACUUCCUGGAUUCAUUGAACCAAGAAGGCUCUGGGCCUGGGGAUACCAACUGCAAUGAAGUGAGUGAGAUGUCUCGUACUGAAAAUGUACAAGAUUCUUCCUUAGGGAAAAUGAUCAGCCUAAGUGAAAAGUCUUGUAACCGCUGACACAGGAGAUCUGUCAGAGUCCUCUCUCAUGACCUUGCCCUGAAGCCACAGCUUGGCAAGCCUUGUUCACCUGCUCAGCCUUGUGUGUGUGUGUGUGUGUGUGUGUGCGCGCGCGUGCAUGUGUAUGCUCAGUCAUUCAGCUGUGGCUGACUCUUUGCGACCCCAUGGACUGUAGCUUGUCAGGCUCCUCAGUCCAUGGAAUUCUCCAGGCAAGAAUACUGGAGUGGGUUUCCAUUUCCUACUCUAG
ensembl:lncRNA